rnacentral:rRNA from 1 species
UAAUCGUUAGUGGCGGAACGGGUGAGUAACGCGUGGGCAACCUACCCAUAAGCGGGGGAUAACAGUUGGAAACGACUGCUAAUACCGCAUAAGCUAUUGAGGUCGCAUGACCUAAAUAGUAAAGGUGGCGAAAGCUAUCACUUAUGGAUGGGCCCGCGUCUGAUUAGCUAGUUGGUGGGAUAGCAGCCUACCAAGGCAACGAUCAGUAGCCGGCCUGAGAGGGUGGACGGCCACACUGGGACUGAGACACGGCCCAGACUCCUACGGGAGGCAGCAGUGGGGAAUAUUGCGCAAUGGGGGAAACCCUGACGCAGCGACGCCGCGUGAGCCGAAGAAGGCCUUAGGGUCGUAAAGCUCUGUUGUAAGGGACGAAUGUUUAUCUGGCGAACAGUCAGAUAAAGUGACGGUACCUUACCAGCAAGCCCCGGCUAACUACGUGCCAGCCGCCGC